rnacentral:rRNA from 1 species
GACGAACGCUGGCGGCGUGCUUAACACAUGCAAGUCGAACGGAAAGGCCCUGCUUUUGUGGGGUGCUCGAGUGGCGAACGGGUGAGUAACACGUGAGUAACCUGCCCUUGACUUUGGGAUAACUUCAGGAAACUGGGGCUAAUACCGGAUAGGAGCUCCUGCUGCAUGGGGGGGGUUGGAAAGUUUCGGCGGUUGGGGAUGGACUCGCGGCUUAUCAGCUUGUUGGUGGGGUAGUGGCUUACCAAGGCUUUGACGGGUAGCCGGCCUGAGAGGGUGACCGGCCACAUUGGGACUGAGAGACGGCCCAGACUCCUACGGGAGGCAGCAGUGGGGAAUAUUGCACAAUGGGCGGAAGUGUGAUGCAGAAACGCCGCGUGCGGGAUGACGGCCUUCGGGUUGUAAACCGCUUUCGCCUGUGACGAAGCGUGAGUGACGGUAAUGGGUAAAGAAGCACCGGCUAACUACGUG